ACCUCUGGUUGUAGUCUAACCUAAACUAAUUUGGCUGCAGCUAAAUCUAAGCAUGUUUAACUGGAAUAUCAUUGUCAUCCUCUGCUUUUUAUAGUGCUGUGCAUGUUGAUAGCACCAUGUAAAUUAAUACCUCUUUCUUUAAAAUAUAUUUAAAUAACCUCUAAAAUAACUUUAAUAUAAAGUGUUUAGAAUCAUAAAGCUGGGAAUAACUCAAAAGCCUCUAACAACAUUUUAAUAUAGUCAACUUAAAAUAACUCGAGGGAUGCCUCUAUCAUCAAAUACCUGGAGGUGAUUUUUAUUCUAGUUCUGACUCUGCUACUGUCAACUCCAAAAGUGAACUAGGAUAGAUAAUCUUUGCAGAACUUAUAUUCUGCUGACAAAUGUCUACCUCUACCUUUUUUCUUUAUACUCUUCUGUAGGUUUUACCCUUUGCUUAUAAGCAUGCACUGGUAAACAAAAUGUAUGGCAGAGGUCUCAAAUUUGCAAAUAAACUUGCAGAGGAGAAGCCCACCAAAGACAACUUGAAGAAUUGUAUACAGCUAAUGAAGUUACUUGGAUGGACUCACUGUGCGUCUUUAACCGAAAACUGGCUUCCUGUGAUGUUCCCACCUGAUUAUUGUGUGUUUUGAAAUACCUGCAAUUGUAAAUUUAAGAUGUUCUUACAUUGACUGAAUAUAAAAAUCUGUGAACUUAUUGGAUUGCAUGUUUUCAUCCAUUAUUGAAUGCUUAACUUGUAUGUAUUAAUCAGAGGAUAAGGGGGUUGCAGUAUAUGUGUGCUAGUUUGGGUCCAGACAUAAGGAAGUCUGUUUAAACUUAAUUCUUAGUUUCUUGAAUAGCUCAUUUGCCUCAGAAAUGAAAAUUUAAAAACAAAAUCUAUUGAAUACAUCACAUUGCUGGCAAUGGAUGUUUGAGAACAGCCAGCGCCAAGGUUUAGAAAAUGAAGGUGGAAAAGCUUCUUGCAUGUGUAUGUGGCUCUUAACUGUUUGUAAUUUUAAUUAUAAGGCUAUACAAGCUGUUAUUUUUACAAUGAGCAGGAUUUUAACAUGUUUAAACAUAAAUUUUCAAUUGUAUGAAGGCCUUAAAUGAAGCUACAAGAAGAGUAGCUAAAACCUUAUUUAUUAGUCUUAAUAAUAAUAGAACAUAAUUACCAGUAUCAUUUGCAAGAGUUUACAUUUUAAUUUUUUUAAAAAAAUAACAACUUCCACAGUCACUAACAAUGUGUUCUGAAUUACUGGUGCAAAGGUGCUCUUGAAUAUCUUCAACUUGAAGGUACUCUCAAAUAUCCACAUGAUACAGAGUAUCAGGAAAAACUGAUACAUGUAUAAAGUGUCAGUUAACACUUAAUCAGGUAUUGUAAAACUUAUACAUACAUGUUAAUAAUGUUUGAAAAAUGUAAAACUGCAGAAUAAAUGUGCAAAUUUCAAUAUCAAAAGUUUGAGCACUCAUGGUUUAAUUUUGUUAAAAUAAAAUAUUGAACAAGUUUGA